GCCUGGGUGGCUCAGUUGGUUGAGCGUCUGACUUUGGCUCAGGUCCAUGGGUUUGAGCCCCAUGUUGGGCU